GGAUCAGUGAUGAGACCCUUGUAUUGUCUUGAAGAGAGGUGAUGACUUAAAAGUCAUGCUCAAUAGGAUUACGCUGAGGCCC
ensembl:snoRNA SNORD115 Small nucleolar RNA SNORD115